rnacentral:rRNA from 1 species
CGCCAGACUCCUACGGGAGGCAGCAGUGGGGAAUAUUGCGCAAUGGACGAAAGUCUGACGCAGCGACGCCGCGUGAGGGAUGAAGGUUUUCGGAUCGUAAACCUCUGUCAGGAGGGAAGAAAGCGUAUGGCGCCAAUCAGCCAUGCGUUGACGGUACCUCCAAAGGAAGCGCCGGCUAACUCCGUGCCAGCAGCCGCGGUAAUACGUAGGGGGCGAGCGUUAUCCGGAUUCAUUGGGCGUAAAGCGCGCGUAGGCGGCCUGUUAGGUCGGGGGUCAAAUACCGGGGCUCAACCCCGGUCCGCCCCCGAUACCGGCAGGCUUGAGUCUGGUAGGGGAAGGCGGAAUUCCCAGUGUAGCGGUGGAAUGCGCAGAUAUUGGGAAGAACACCGGCGGCGAAGGCGGCCUUCUGGGCCACGACUGACGCUGAGGCGCGAAAGCUAGGGGAGCGAACAGGAUUAGAUACCCGGGUAA